rnacentral:rRNA from 1 species
UACGUAGGGGGCAGCGUUGUCCGGAAUCAUUGGGCGUAAAGAGCGUGUAGGCGGUUCGGUAAGUCUGCCGUGAAAACCUGGGGCUCAACCCCGGGCGUGCGGUGGAUACUGCCGGGCUAGAGGGUGGUAGAGGCGAGUGGAAUUCCCGGUGUAGCGGUGAAAUGCGCAGAUAUCAGGAGGAACACCAGUAGCGAAGGCGGCUCGCUGGGCCAUUCCUGACGCUGAGACGCGAAAGCUAGGGGAGCGAACAGG